CAGGAGAAUUGAGUACUUGGAGCAACCCAGGAGCACCUUUUUAUUUUCUUAAUGCUAUUUUUCGGUGAUCCUCUUCUGGUCUACAGAGAGAUAAAAGAAGGGGCAAAGAAGCAUUCCAUGCAGGGCUCAGACUCUUGCAGGACACAGCCAGAACUUCCUCUACCGUUCCAGACCUGCUACAGAAGUUUCUGGAGACCAUGAGCAUAGGACUGACCAACAAUUUGAGAAGAAGGAGGAAGGAAAAUAAGCAGAAAGUGUGAAUGAAGAAUAAGGGAAUGGAAUGAGCAAGAAGAGACUGGAAAAUUGAGGUCAAGAAGUGAGCAGAAGCUGAUUUCCUGUAUGCAACUGAAAAUCCAAAUAACAGUGGCU
rnacentral:lncRNA from 1 species